CGAACGCUGGCGGCGUGCUUAACACAUGCAAGUCGAACGGUGAAGCGCCUUCCUUUUUGGUGGGUGUGGAUGAGUGGCGAACGGGUGAGUAACACGUGAGUAACCUGCCCCCUUCUUCUGGAUAACCGCAUGAAAGUGUGGCUAAUACGGGAUAUUCUGGGUCUGUCGCAUGAUGGGUCUGGGAAAGAUAUUGUUUCGGUGGGGGAUGGGCUCGCGGCCUAUCAGCUUGUUGGUGGGGUGAUGGCCUACCAAGGCGGUGACGGGUAGCCGGCCUGAGAGGGUGGACGGUCACACUGGGACUGAGACACGGCCCAGACUCCUACGGGAGGCAGCAGUGGGGAAUAUUGCACACUGGGCGCAAGCCUGAUGCAGCGACGCCGCGUGAGGGAUGGAGGCCUUCGGGUUGUGAACCUCUUUCGCCAGUGAAGCAGGCCUGCCUCGUUUGUGGGUGGGUUGACGGUAGCUGGAUAAGAAGCGCCGGCUAACUACGUG
rnacentral:rRNA from 1 species